rnacentral:lncRNA from 1 species
UUAAAAACAAAAAAAAAAAUGAUGAUUUCCAAGAAAGGGAGUCAAUCAUUCAAAUAUCUUACAAUUCUUGAUUCUUAAACAUAAUUAUGCUCAUACAAUGCAAAAUUAAAUGUCUGGAAGUGGGCAAGGUACAUAGGAAAAAAAAAGGACAGAGAUUGGAAUCUCGAAGACAAUGGGAAGCUGGUGGAGGGAAAAAAACAGAAGCGAAAUCGCAUAACAAAUGGAAGAAGAUUUACCUUAAAAGUUAGCUGAAUUUGAGGAGAAAGGAAAAGGGUGGGGACCGUCGGGAGCAGAGAAGAGAUCCAAAGAGAAAAGAAGAGAAAAAGGAUUUCGGAUUUCCCUCUGUCUCUCUCUUUCUCUCUCUCUGUUCUUCCUCGACGAGUUCGGGGAAUUUACCCCAUACUCUGUUUAUAAAUAAAAACCAACCUGUGGUCCGAACGGCAACAGUACAGCGUGUAUAGCGCUUUAAAACGCCGUCGUUUAACUCUGCCAUGGUUUUUUCCUUAUAAAAAUAAAAAACUUUUAUUAAAGAAAAAGAAAAUAAUCUAAUUAUUCUAAGAAUUAAAAUUGUAUUUACUCAAAGAAAUGAGCAUUUAAAUCUAUUUUUUUAAGAUAAAAAUAUUAUACUUAUCAUUAAAUUAAAUAUUUAUCUUUUAUUAAUUUACAAAUAAAAAUAAUAUUUACAGUACCCAGAACUCAUGCAAUUGUUUGGUCACAAGGAUUCUUGCAUCAAAUGCUAGAUUGUUGGUCAUGGCAUUCCACAGAACCUUGAGUAGUUCAACAAUUAUUUCUACUAUUGUUGUUGUUGAGAAUUUCCUGGAAUAAAAAGAUAAAUCGAUUUUUAUCUUGUUUUGCAAUGCUCCCACAAUUCUUGCCUGUUAUUUCUUUAUUCUCUUUAAGGAGCACCAUGACUUCAAUUUCCCAUCUCCACCCUAAUCCCACCCAACUCUUAAUUACCACUGGAGUUAAGCUCUAAUGGUUUAAUUAGUUUUAAAUCAAAACCAUAAAUCUUGGAAGGAAUGAGUUAAGCUCUUGAAUUACCACUUGAUUUCAAUUUUGGAAGGAAAGAGUAUAUACUAUAACAGGUUCUUUCUGCUCAGAUUUCUAGCGAAGGUUUUCAUGUUUUGGCAAGAGCCAGGUUUGCAAAACCAGUAGACCUUGCUCCUCGGUCCUCAAGGAGAGUUCAGGACUACUACAAAGGUUUUAAUCAGACUGUUUGGUUUGCGAAAUCAAAAUAAAAAAAUAAAAUAGUUCUUCUGUGAGAAUGUAAAAAUUGACAUUAUAUUAAUUUCUUUUUAAUUUUUCAAGUUCCAACCACUCACAUUAUCGGAUAGACUUGAACCAAGAGUUAAUGGAUUGAUGAAAAGAAACUAUUUAAUCACUAUUCUUUAAAAGUCCAUUUGGAUCUAUACCAGAUUUUCAAUACUGAAUUGCAAUUGAACAACAAAAAUUGGGUAAUAUUCACUUACGAUUAUUGCAGUAGACAGACAGAUUUAGCAGAAUUCUAAAUCACUUAUAGCUGCAUAUUAUACAGACUAAUUUGCAUAGAGCAUACAGCAAGAAAGAAAGGGGGAAAAAAGAGAGGAAAACCAAUCAUUACAGCUUGCUCAACUACAGGGUUGAUCAGUGUUUCUUCAAGAAACCUUGAGCCAUCUUCAAGUAAUCCCCAUAGCCGCCACUUGCAGAAUCCUGGUGGCCAUGACCAUGACCACCGCUGGCAUGGGGCUCCGAUUGUUUCUCAGGUUUGGUCGAGUGGGCAGAAUGAGUGGUGUUGGGGGUUGAAUGGGAAGAGUGGUACUGGUGCAGGUAAUUCUCAGCCUUGUCAACAUACUUACCAACGCCCUUCUCCUGAUCCAGCUUGCCGUAGUGCGAGGCAGCACCAAACAGAUCAGCGGCUGCACCGGCAACCUUUCCCUUGUCAACCUUAUCGCUUUCAUGGUGCAGUGAGUUCUUCGCUGCCUCCGCCACCAACUUAGCACUAGAGAGGAGCUCAGAGGAAGAUUUUGGGGGGUGCUUCUCGUGGUGAGAGGUUGGUUUAUUGUGAGGAGCUGACUCCAUUGAAAGGAUAGCUUCAGGAACAGGUGUAGCAAUAAUUGUGAUAGAGGAGGAUUGGCGAUGAUAUCUCCUUUUUAUCCCUAGUGGAUGUAUAGAUGGCUGGUUGUGCCUUUAGGCAUAGAAAAUUAGACCAUUGACCCUCGAUGCAGGGAACCUUCCUUGCGGUGUCGGCUACGCGUUACCUUUCCUAGUAAAGACUAAACAGGAUUCUUGCUUAUUCUUGGUUACUUGAUUUCUAUUUGUCAAAUCAAAUUGUGAAAUACGCGCUUAAAAAUAUAUAAAAACAAAUAGUAGGAAGUAUUCUGGAAGAGGUGGGGAUGGAUUCAACCUUAGGUCAUAUUCUGAAUUGAUUCAUACUAACAGUUAAUCAGACAGAUUUUUUUGUCAGACUGGGGACCAAUUCCCUACCCUAUCUGCUAGACUUUGUCCAAGUGAGAAAAGGCAGUAGGCCAAGAGUCCAUUUAAUCACCAUUGUCCAUGGCAAAUAUUGAAAUUGAACAUAAACAGGGUAACAUUUAUUUAAAGAUUUGUGCAAUAGAUUAGCAGAAUUCUCACUACUAACUUAUUGCUUCAUAUUACAUAGAUUCGGAUGGAGUCAUAGACCAUACAGCAUAGGGGAAAGGAAAAAGAAAACAGAUUAAAAGCCAUCAACAGUGAACACAGCUCGGUGAACUACUACAAGACAAAAUCAGUUUUACUUGAAGAAACCCUGAGCAACCUUGACGUAAUCCCCAACGCCAGCGCUUCCAGAAUCCUUGCCAUCACCACCGCUUGCAUGCGGCUCUGACUUUGCAGGCUCAGGGUUGGUCGGGGUGUCAGACUUUUUGGUGCCCGGGGUCGCUCCGGAAGACUCGUAUUGGUGCAGGUAAUUCUCUGCCUUAUCAACAUAUUGUCCAAUUCCCUUCUCCUGAUCCAGUUUGCCAUAGCCUUUGGCAGCACCUAGAAGAUCAGCAGCUGCACCAGCAACCUUCCCCUUGUCAACCUUAUCGCUUUCAUUGCUGAAUGUGGAUUUUGCUGCCCCGGCUACCACCUUAGCACUAGAGAACAGUUCAGAGGAAGUUGGGGUACGGUCUUUCUCUGACGCCAUUGUUAAGUCUGGGAGAGCUCUAGCAAAAAGUUUAUCA